rnacentral:misc_RNA from 1 species
GAUGAAGAACGCAGCGAAAUGCGAUAAGUAAUGUGAAUUGCAGAAUUCAGUGAAUCACCGAAUCUUUGAACGCACAUUGCGCCCGCCAGUAUUCUGGCGGGCAUGCCUGUUCGAGCGUCAUUUCAACCAUCAAGCCCCAGGCUUGUGUUGGGGACCUGCGGCUGCCGCAGGCCCUGAAAACCAGUGGCGGGCUCGCUGUCACACCGGGCGUAGUAGAUUUUAUCUCGCUCAGGGCGUGCUGCGGGUUCCGGCCGUUAAAAAGCCUUUUUUACCCAAGGUUGACCUCGGAUCAGGUAGGAAGACCCGCUGAACUUAAGCAUAUCAAUAAGCGGAGGA